UAGAGACAAUUUAAUUUAGUACUGAAACACUUCAAAUUGUGUUUCUCAGUUACCAAAGACUCAGGAAAAGGGAAGGAAACACUGAGUCCAGACCGAGAGACAGUCAUCAGAGGUAAGAAGAGCAUAGAGCAGUGAUUAAGUUGCUUUGAGGACACUUUCAGAUAAGCUCCAGGUAUAUCAUAGGUAUACCCAUGUACAUAGGUUUUGAUGUAUGCAUGUAAUAAUAUGUAUGUAAAUUAUUUGAGCAGUUGUAUAAAAACUCUUGUAAAAUAUUUUGGUAUGUAAUUAAAUGUAAAUUAUCGUGAAUGUAAAUUUGAGAUUUCAUUUA